rnacentral:rRNA from 1 species
UACGUAGGGCGCAAGCGUUGUCCGGAAUUAUUGGGCGUAAAGAGCUCGUAGGCGGUUUGUCGCGUCUGUCGUGAAAGCCCACGGCUUAACCGUGGGUCUGCGGUGGAUACGGGCAGACUAGAGGCAGGUAGGGGAGAAUGGAAUUCCCGGUGUAGCGGUGAAAUGCGCAGAUAUCUGGAGGAACACCGGUGGCGAAGGCGGCAUUCUGGACCGAAACUGACGCUGAGGCGCGAAAGCCAGGGGAGCAAACGGG